UAAGGAAUAUUGGUCAAUGGACGAAAGUCUGAACCAGCCAUGCCGCGUGGAGGAUGAAGGUCCUCUGGAUUGUAAACUUCUUUUAUAUGGGGCGAAAAAAGGGUUUUCUAACUCGACUGACGGUACCAUAUGAAUAAGCACCGGCUAACUCCGUGCCAGCAGCCGCGGUAAUACGGAGGGUGCAAGCGUUAUCCGGAUUCACUGGGUUUAAAGGGAGCGUAGGUGGGUUGAUAAGUCAGUGGUGAAAUCUCCGAGCUUAACUCGGAAACUGCCAUUGAUACUAUCAGUCUUGAAUAUUGUGGAGGCUAGCGGAAUAUGUCAUGUAGCGGUGAAAUGCUUAGAUAUGACAUAGAACACCAAUUGCGAAGGCAGCUGGCUAUACAUAUAUUGACACUGAGGCUCGAAAGCGUGGGGAUCAAACAGGAUUAGAUACCCUGGUAGUCCACGCCCUAAACUAUGGAUACUCGACAUACGCGAUACACUGUGUGUGUCUGAGCGAAAGCAUUAAGU
rnacentral:rRNA from 3 species